UAUGACCUACGGGAGGCAGCAGUAGGGAAUCUUCCACAAUGGGCGCAAGCCUGAUGGAGCAACACCGCGUGAGUGAAGAAGGGUUUCGGCUCGUAAAGCUCUGUUGUUGGAGAAGAACGUGCGUGAGAGGAACUGUUCACGCAGUGACGGGAUCCAACCAGAAAGUCACGGCUAACUACGUGCCAGCAGCCGCGGGAAUACGUAGGUGGCAAGCGUUAUCCGGAUUUAUUGGG
rnacentral:rRNA from 1 species